GGCGGCAGGCCUAAUACAUGCAAGUCGAGCGCCCAGCAAUGGGAGCGGCGGACGGGUGAGUAACACGUGGGAAUAUGCCCCGAGGUACGGGACAACUCAGGGAAACUUGAGCUAAUACCGUAUGAUCCGGCAACGGCAAAGAUUUAUCGCCUUGGGAUUAGCCCGCGUCCGAUUAGCUAGUUGGUGAGGUAAUGGCUCACCAAGGCACCGAUCGGUAGCUGGUUUGAGAGAACGACCAGCCACACUGGGACUGAGACACGGCCCAGACUCCUACGGGAGGCAGCAGUAGGGAAUCUUGGACAAUGGGGGAAACCCUGAUCCAGCCAUGCCGCGUGAGUGAUGAAGGCCUUCGGGUUGUAAAACUCUUUCGACGGGGACGAUAAUGACGGUNCCCGUANAAGAAGCUCCGGCUAACUUCGUGCCAGCAGCCGCGGUAAUACCAANGGGGCUAGCGUUGUUCGGAAUUACUGGGCGU
rnacentral:rRNA from 1 species